rnacentral:lncRNA from 1 species
UUUUUUUUUUAAUUUUUGGUAGAGAUGAGGUCUCACAAUGUUUCCCAGGAUGGUCUCAAACUCCUGAGAUCAAGUGAUCGUUCCACCGUGGCCUCCCAAACUGUUGGGACUACAGGCGUAGCCAUAACACCUGGACCUUUCUUCUUUUUAAAUGUAGGCUCUUACAGCUGUAAAUUUAUUUCUGAGCACUGAUUUGGCUGCAUCUCAUGAAUCUUGGUAUGUUGUGUUUUCAUUUUCACUAACCUCACAGUAUCUUCCAAUUUCCCUGGUGAGUUUUUCUUUAACCCAUUGGUUGUUUAAGAGCAUGUUGUUUACUUUCCACGUAUUUGCUACUUUUCCAGUUCCCUUAAGGUCAUUGAGAAAUCAAGUGCUGACCUUGAACCUAGCUCCUGUAAAUCUGAAUUUGUAUUUUCUG